ACCAUGCAAGUCGAAACGAGAACAGAAGAGAGCUUGCUCUCUUGCUGCUAAGUGGNGNCACGGGUGAGUAAUAUAUAGGUAAUAUGCCUCUUACNUAAGGGAUAAUUGUUGGAAACGACUUGUAAUACCUUAUAUGCCUUUUGAACAUAAGUUCGUAAAGGGAAAGAUUUAUCGGUAAGAGAUUAGCCUGUACGGUAUCAGAUAGUUGGUGGGGUAAUGGCCUACCAAGUCUAUGACACCUAACUGGUUUGAGAGGAUGAUCAGUCACACUGGAACUGAGACACGGUCCAGACUCCUACGGGAGGCAGCAGUGGGGAAUAUUGCACAAUGGACGAAAGUCUGAUGCAGCAACGCCGCGUGGAGGAUGACACAUUUCGGUGCGUAAACUCCUUUUAUAUGAGAAGAUANUGACGGUAUCAUAUGAAUAAGCACCGGCUAACUCCGUGCCAGCAGCCGCGGUAAUACGGGGGGUGCAAGCGUUACUCGGAAUCACUGGGCGUAAAGAGCAUGUAGGCGGGUGAAUAAGUUGGAAGUGAAAUCCUAUAGCUUAACUAUAGAACUGCUUCCAAAACUGUUCACCUAGAGUAUGGGAGAGGUAGAUGGAAUUUCUGGUGUAGGGGUAAAAUCCGUAGAGAUCAGAAGGAAUACCGAUUGCGAAGGCGAUCUACUGGAACAUUACUGACGCUCAGAUGCGAAAGCGUGGGGAGCAAACAGGAUUAGAUACCCUGGUAGUCCACGCCCUAAACGAUGUACACUAGUUGUUGCUAUACUAGAUAUGGCAGUAAUGCAGUUAACACUUUAAGUGUACCGCCUGGGGAGUACGGUCGCAAGAUUAAAAACUCAAAGGAAUAGACGGGGACCCGCACAAGCGGUGGAGCAUGUGGUUUAAUUCGACGAUACGCGAAAAAACCUUACCUGGCCUUGACAUAGUAGGAAUCUUUAAGAGAUU
rnacentral:rRNA from 1 species